rnacentral:tRNA from 1 species
GUCGGGGUAGCUCAGUUGGUUAGAGCGUGGCAUUCAUAAAGCCAAGGUCGUGGGUUCGACCCCCACCCUCGACA